AGCGAACGCUGGCGGCAGGCCUAACACAUGCAAGUCGAACGAUCCUUCGGGAUAGUGGCGGACGGGUGAGUAACACGUGGGAACGUGCCCUUUGGUUCGGAACAACUCAGGGAAACUUGAGCUAAUACCGAAUGUGCCCUUCAGGGGAAAGAUUUAUCGCCAUUGGAGCGGCCCGCGUCUGCUUAGCUAGUUGGUGAGGUAAUGGCUCACCAAGGCGACGAUCAGUAGCUGGUCUGAGAGGAAGAUCAGCCACACUGGGACUGAGACACGGCCCAAACUCCUACGGGAGGCAGCAGUGGGGAAUCUUGCGCAAUGGGCGAAAGCCUGACGCAGCCAUGCCGCGUGAAUGAUGAAGGUCUUAGGAUUGUAAAAUUCUUUCACCGGGGACGAUAAUGACGGUACCCGGAGAAGAAGCUCCGGCUAACUUCGUGCCAGCCGCCGCCGUAAUAC
rnacentral:rRNA from 1 species